CUUUGUCUGAGGCCAUUAGAAGGUCAUUUGUUACCUUCAUGUGUGCAGUCUCAGUGCUAUGAUAGGGUCUGAAACCGGACUGGAGCAUUUCAUAGAUUGUUUUCAGGAAGGUUUUCAAUUGGUGGGAAACACAUUUUUCAGAGGAAAUGGUGUUUCGAUAUUGGCCUAUAAUAGGUCCAGAUUAGAUUUUUUCAGAAGAGUCUUAAUUUCUGCUAUUUUUUGUGAGUUUGGUACACACCCGGAAGAUAGGGAGCAAUUUAUUAUGUUCAACAUUGGCUGAUCUAGCAUUGAAAAUAGCUCCUUAAGUAGUUUUGUUGGAAUCGGGUCUAGUUGGCAGUCCUGCAGCAUAUGAGAAGGAAAUUUCAUUGCAAAUGCGGAGAGGGCCAAAAAGAAAAAGCUGGCUUGUAUGAAACGACGGAUUACUUUUACAAACAAAGGGCAACCAUGACAGAGACAAUGGAAGCCAACAGACCAAACGUUAACGACAAUGGACGUCGUAUGUAAUCAGAGGAUUAUUCCAUUUGCCACAAAACAUUCCUACAUGUAUACAAAUUGGGGACAGGUGGAGCUGAGUGGAUCUUUACGGUGACAAGUUGCUACUGGGUUUGAAGCUAACUAGGGGUUAAAAGUUCCUGGUGCAUAAUCUCUCGCUUUCUCUCCACAAGCACCAUUUUGUUUUGUGAUCUGGUUGAUCAUGCUUUUUGGAUUAGGUGCACAUUUUAACACAUUUUACAUUCAUUCAUGCAUCUCCAUUUCCACCUUUACACUUCACAGGUAUGUUAAUAUUUGUAAUCUUAUACUUAGUUCAUUAUUUAAAAAAAAAAAUUGUUACUCCUUAAACACUAAUGUGUGGACUCCCUUGCAUGUUACCAUCUAAGAACUGGGUUGUGACAAUGCUAUUAACAUACGCCAUAAAAAACGUAUUUCACUGCUCUGUUUGUCUUUGCCGUAAAUAAGGUUUCUUACAUAAGCACAUUUAUAAACCUCAGUAAUGCUGCGCAGGAAAACAUAACGCAUUCUUUCAGACUAUUGCCCUAAGCCACAGAUCAAGUCACAGAAAGAGACAUGCGUUUUGUGAGACUCUUGAUGUAGGCAAAUGGUGCUCACACUCUCCUUCCUUCAAUGACCUAUUGUUGAAAGUUUGUUGAAAAUGUGCCAAUAAUCACUGCAUGUAGUAUUUGGCCCUUGCAUAACAAUUGCUUUCUACUGUAUAUCCCAUGUUAUUUUCAAAAGGCUGUGGGAUUAUGUCCAAAAAGGUUUGUGCAAGAUAUGGCCAAAACACUCUCUUAUUACAAUACAAAAUGCUGUAAUGGUAAUUGCAUUAAAAUACAAUACCAAAUACUUUUCCACAUACUGUAUUUCAUCAA
ensembl:lncRNA